GGGGGUAAAGGGCUCGCAGGCGGUUCCUUAAGUCUGAUGUGAAAGUUCCCGGCUCAACCGGGGAGGGUCAUUGGAAACUGGGAAACUUGAGUGCAGAAGAGGAGAGUGGAAUUCCACGUGUAGCGGUGAAAUGCGUAGAGAUGCGGAGGAACACCAGUGGCGAAGGCGACUCUCUGGUCUGUAACUGACGCUGAGGAGCGAAAACGUGGGGAGCGAACAGGAUUAGAUACCCUGGUAGUCCACGCCGUAAAUAGCGAGUGCUAAGUGUUAGGGGGUUUCCGCCCCUUAGUCCUGCAGCUAACGCAUUAAGCACUCCGCCUGGGGAGUACGGUCGCAAGACUGAAACUCAAAGGAAUUGACGGGGGGCCCGCACAAGCGGUGGAGCAUGUGGUUUAAUUCGAAGCAACGCGAAGAACCUGACCAGGUCUUGACAUCCUCUGACUAC
rnacentral:rRNA from 1 species